AUUGACAUGCCAGACCUUUUGAGUUCUUGCCGCUUUCCACUUUGGGUGUCAUUGGUACUCUAGGUAAGGUAAUUCAAUUGGAAGAUAGAAAUCUAGAUUUCUUAUGUUGCCUUCCUCCAUGGUGCAGCAGAAGAGAGCGGCAGUGGCAACAAGGCACACUUCUUGCGGGAAUUACGUUCUUGGAAGGCAAUAUAAAGAAUAUAGCCUUCUAGCCUUCUAGAGUGAAUUACCUUAACUAGAGCACCAAUGACACCCAUAGUGGAAAGUCGCAAAUACUCAAAAGGUUUUGGUCUU